rnacentral:rRNA from 1 species
UACGGAGGGUGCAAGCGUUGCUCGGAAUUACUGGGCGUAGAGCGCGUGUAGGUGGCUAUAGAAGUCUGGUGUGAAAGCCCUCGGCUCAACCGGGGAAGUGCGCCAGAAACCAUAUAGCUAGAGGUCCGGAGGGGAACGUGGAAUUCCCAGUGUAGAGGUGAAAUUCGUAGAUAUUGGGAGGAACACCGGUGGCGAAGGCGACGUUCUGGACGGAUUCUGACACUAAAACGCGAAAGCGUGGGGAUCAAAC